AUACUCUAGUUUCUCUUCAGAUUAUAUAAAUCUUUUGCCUUUUACUAAAGAUUUCCGUGAAGAAAGAUCCCUUCUAUGUCCAAGUAGCUCAACUUGUUACAAAUCAUGAAUUUUGUUUG
ensembl:snRNA U5 U5 spliceosomal RNA